UGGGUGGAGAAAGGUACUGUGGAGGUUCAGCAUUACGAUAGACUGUCUGGGGAAUGGGGAUUUGUAAUUUAGAAUAAGAAAAGGGUAAUUUAGGCAUUGAGUGUUACAUUUAGUGUAUUUAGAUCCUGUAGUUGAUAUGGAAAGUUAGAUAGCUCCUUUUCUUUGAAUAUGGUUUUCAAGCGACGGUCUGUUCUGCAGCGUGGCUGAAAAACUCAACACGUGUGGGAGGUCCCUCUUCAGUAUUUGAGGUAAGGAAAACAUAUUAAGUGUAGUUUGUAUCAAGUGUUUUUUUUUAAAUGUGUAUUAGAAAGAAAAAAAAUCAGUGCUCUCUACGAUUUAAAACUGCCAACGUCAGAGCACGUGGUCACGAAAAGCCAGCGUCAUGUGUUACACCAAACUCCACUUAAAUAAUUCUUUAUUUGGUGUUAAAUCGCAAAUUGACCAAUAUUAAUCUGAAAUCAGAACACAACUCUACUCUUUUCUGAAGUAGAAGUUGCAACUCUUGAAUUCGGCGCACACCAUGUAUCUCUAACACACUUAGUUAAACUCCUUGUUUGCAAAUAUUUCAUCAUGCAAAAGUAUUUAUGUUUUUGCAUGAUGAAAUAUGAAAUCUGACUGUUUCUUGUUUUUACAGCUCAACUGAAGAACAAGGUUGUCAGUGAAAUGAGAAGUGUGGACCUGACAUGCAUGUACUGGGCGACUUGCUGAGGUGUGAGUUCUGCUGAAGUUUACACAACAACAUCUGCAUUAAGAACUCUGUUGGUUUGUCUUUGUUUAUACUUUCAGCUAUUAAUUUCACUAAUAAAUAUUCACUG